GGGAGAUCCCCCACACUGGUACUGAGACACGGACCAGACUCCUACGGGAGGCAGCAGUGAGGAAUAUUGGACAAUGGGCGCAAGCCUGAUCCAGCCAUGCCGCGUGCAGGAUGACGGUCCUAUGGAUUGUAAACUGCUUUUGUACGAGAAGAAACACUGCUUCGUGAAGCAGCUUGACGGUAUCGUAAGAAUAAGGAUCGGCUAACUCCGUGCCAGCAGCCGCGGUAAUACGGAGGAUCCAAGCGUUAUCCGGAAUCAUUGGGUUUAAAGGGUCCGUAGGCGGUUUAGUAAGUCAGUGGUGAAAGCCCAUCGCUCAACGGUGGAACGGCCAUUGAUACUGCUGAACUUGAAUUAUUAGGAAGUAACUAGAAUAUGUAGUGUAGCGGUGAAAUGCUUAGAGAUUACAUGGAAUACCAAUUGCGAAGGCAGGUUACU
rnacentral:rRNA from 1 species